rnacentral:rRNA from 1 species
AUACGGAGGGUGCAAGCGUUAUUCGGAAUCACUGGGCGUAAAGGACGCGUAGGCGGGUUGGCAAGUCAGAUGUGAAAUCCUACAGCUUAACUGUAGAACUGCAUUUGAAACUGCUAACCUAGAGUAUGGGAGUGGGAGAUGGAAUUAGUGGUGUAGGGGUAAAAUCCGUAGAUACCACUAGGAAUACCGAAAGCGAAGGCGAUCUCCUGGAACAUAACUGACGCUAAGGCGUGAAAGCGUGGGGAGCAAACAGGAUUAGAAACCCUUGUAGUCC